AUGUUUACUCUUGUCCCCCCCUCCUCCCCCUCUGCCAGGACGUCCCCGGGCAGGCACACACGCAGCCCUCCUGGCCAUGCACAAGCUGCCCCCGGAACCAGCCCGCGGCUCCCAGCCGCCCGAGCAGGUGUGGUGCCGUCUCCGUGCCCCCGGAUCCUGCAUGCGAGAUGUAUGCAAAUGGCAGCGAGCGGUGGGCGACGUCAGAAAGGGACACAAAGGGUCCCCUUAAUCCUUCGUUGCCCAGAGCUGUCUCACCCCAGCGAGGCACAGCAGCAGAAUGGGGUCUGUAAAGACGUCUGUCAAGCGCUGCGCCUCCAAAGGCCUUGCUGAAUGACAGGAAAAUUUGCAUGCCAACCAAUGGCACUUUCUAGGACGUUGUCAAUGCAGUCAGCCACUGCAGAGUUUCUCUCCCUUCCCAGCCAUUCAAAGGAGCCGAGCGGCUUGCGGAAGGCGCGGGGUGGGGGCAGAGCGAUGUGACAAUCACAGCGUGUCCCCAGAGCGGAGGCAGCCCCGUGCUUGAAUGCAGCAGCGCUCCGUCCCCUCUGCCGCCGCGUUGUGCAGCUCCAUUGAGCGCGGGGAGGCUUCUGCAGCUCGGUGAGACAGAGGUGGAUUGUGCCUCGUGGGCUCAGCUGUCACUGCCCGGCCGGGAGGUGACAGAUCCGGAGCAGCUCCGCCGCUGACAUGAGCUGCAGAAGUGUCACUGACCUUGUGUGGCCCUUUGUCCCUAUUGUCUCAGCCCCUCUCAAAAGAAACCCUUGGUCUUGUUCUGCUCCUCCAGGCUGGGAAAGUGAUUAUUAUUAUGUCCUGGCCUUUGGCUGAUGAAAAUAUGUGCAGCUUUUGUCGCCCAUUUCUCCACCCCGAGUGCAUUUUCCCCCCAUUUGCUAUUCACACUUUGUCUGAAUCUGGUGUUCAUUGAGGUGGUGGAGGCUGGGGGGUACAGGGGAGGAGCAGGUACCCCCACUGCCCUGUCUCCCCUGGACCAGUGCCCCCCAGUCUGAGCAUGCGCUGCCCCCCCUUGCGCCUGGGGGCACACAUGGCAGCUCCCAGUCCCAGCCCGGCCAGCAGGAACAGGGUUGGGGUUUUUGAGGGAGACAAAGGCCAGCAAGGGACAAGGAGGCUCCCCAAACCUGUAUCCCUAGGAUGCUGCAUCCCUGCCUCAGGAUAGGAAGGGGUUUGUGUGUGUGUGUGCACGUGUGUAUUUGUGUGCACAUGGAGACACCAGAUCUAGGAGGUCACCACCUGAUUUGAUCUGCCUCUGCUCUUUUACCUCACACCAUACACAAUUUUUUGCCCCACUACACACUGAUCCCCAACGACGGUUUAAAGUCUCACCCUUCUGAUUUCACCGUGCUUCGCGCCUGCCCUGUGCUGCCUUUGCAGUGGUCCCUGUCACUGCCCAGGGCACAGAGCAGUGGCAAACGGGUCCCAAGGGUUUAGAUCUGGGACUGCCAAAGCAUUCCUGGGGUUGGCAGUGCCCAGUACUGUGCGUCGGCAGGGCAGAAGUCACUGCCUGUCUAUUGCAAAAUUCAGUAACACUUAGCAGGAGCACCACCAGGUCUGUCCCAGCUGCGUGACUUGUUCGGGUCACCCUGGAAUAGACAGCAAUGCACAGGAGCACAGCUGAAAACCCUCCCUGAUGCAGGCGGCGUUUCCAAGCUGAGAUAGACCAGAGGCGUCGUUCCGAGGUGACUGCUGCUGGGUUUAUGUCUUUGUGUGUCCCAUAACCCUGGAAAACUUGGGGGGGCUCCUGUUCUCCCAGGUUCCCCUGGCCAUGGAGCGGAGAUGGUCUGAUGAAGAGGGAGGAUUUAGCUUCUACUUAUUGUUUUAUUUUUUAGUUUCUUGUUCAGUUGUAUAGGGUCAUCUUUUAAUCUUGCUUUCAAUUAUAAGGGACAGCAUGAGGGAGGCAUAGAGCUGGGUUAACACACGUUGAAAAAUGAGGGGUAUGCUGCCGUGUAAGCCGGGAUGCGAUACAUUCAGCCGGAACAGUGUAAAUUGGGCUGUGGAUGGAUUGCUGUUUAAUUAGCUGUUUGAGCUGCAGUUCAGCCAGCUCUGCCCACUUAACGUUCUUGUUGAACAAAGUGUUAGUGCAGACUUCAAGGGCCACAAACCUCCCUGGGAAGGCAGUUUUCCUAAGGGGUCUGGUACACAAAAUGGCCUCAAUUGCAGGUGCAGUGCGUUGGAUGGAGUUAGUGGGAGCAGAUCAUCAACCAGAUGAGGAAGGGCCCUCGUUAAGAAGAUGGGGUCUGGGCUGUGGACCUCAAUGGGAGGAAGAGUGGUGAUGUGGGAAUCGCAGGUCCCACGGCGUGGGAGGACGGGCACGCAGCAGAAUCCAUCCCCAGCGCUACCAGCAGAUAAUGGCCAUUCGAUAUAGCCCACUUCUUCUGCGCCAUAAAGCUGAUGGGCUGAAUCAAGCCAUGGUAACAGCAUUGAUUUUAACAGAGUUAAAUUAAGUGAUACAUUUGGCUCUGCAGUUCCUCGUUUUGCUCUCCACCUAAUAAAGCAGGAUGAAGCCUCCUGUCUGGAGGUGCC
ensembl:lncRNA